rnacentral:rRNA from 1 species
GAUGAACGCUGGCGGCGUGCCUAAUACAUGCAAGUCGAGCGAACGGACGAGAAGCUUGCUUUUCUGAUGUUAGCGGCGGACGGGUGAGUAACACGUGGAUAACCUACCUAUAAGACUGGGAUAACUUCGGGAAACCGGAGCUAAUACCGGAUAAUAUUUUGAACCGCAUGGUUCAAAAGUGAAAGACGGUCUUGCUGUCACUUAUAGAUGGAUCCGCGCUGCAUUAGCUAGUUGGUAAGGUAACGGCUUACCAAGGCAACGAUGCAUAGCCGACCUGAGAGGGGGAUCGGCCACACUGGAACUGAGACACGGCCCAGACUCCUACGGGAGGCAGCAGUAGGGACUCUUCCGCAAUGGGCGAAAGCCUGACGGAGCAACGCCGCGUGAGUGAUGAAGGUCUUCGGAUCGUAAAACUCUGUUAUUAGGGAAGAACAUAUGUGUAAGUAACUGUGCACAUCUUGACGGUACCUAAUCAGAAAGCCACGGCUAACUACGUG